rnacentral:rRNA from 1 species
CUACGGGACGCUGCAGUGAGGAAUAUUGCACAAUGGGGGGAACCCUGAUGCAGCAACGCCGCGUGGAGGAUGACGCAUUUCGGUGUGUAAACUCCUUUUAUAUGUCAAGAAAAUGACGGUAGCAUAUGAAUAAGCGCCGGCUAACUCCGUGCCAGCAGCCGCGGUAAUACGGAGGGCGCAAGCGUUACUCGGAAUCACUGGGCGUAAAGGACGCGUAGGCGGGUUGAAAAGUCAGGUGUGAAAGCCUACAGCUUAACUGUAGAACUGCACUUGAAACUCUCAACCUAGAGUAUGGGAGGGGCAGAUGGAAUUAGUGGUGUAGGGGUAAAAUCCGUAGAUAUCACUAGGAAUACCUAAAGCGAAGGCGAUCUGCUGGAACAUUACUGACGCUAAGGCGUGAAAGCGUGGAGAGCAAACAGGAUUAGAUACCCCCGUAGUC